ACGAACGCUGGCGGCGCGCCUAACACCUGCAAGUCGAACGAGCGAGAGAGAGCUUGCUUUCUCGAGCGAGUGGCGAACGGGUGAGUAACGCGUGAGGAACCUGCCUCAAAGAGGGGGACAACAGUUGGAAACGACUGCUAAUACCGCAUAAGCCCACGACCCGGCAUCGGGUAGAGGGAAAAGGAGCAAUCCGCUUUGAGAUGGCCUCGCGUCCGAUUAGCUAGUUGGUGAGGUAACGGCCCACCAAGGCGACGAUCGGUAGCCGGACUGAGAGGUUGAACGGCCACAUUGGGACUGAGACACGGCCCAGACUCCUACGGGAGGCAGCAGUGGGGAAUAUUGCACAAUGGGGGAAACCCUGAUGCAGCGACGCCGCGUGGAGGAAGAAGGUCUUCGGAUUGUAAACUCCUGUUGUUGAGGAAGAUAAUGACGGUACUCAACAAGGAAGUGACGGCUAACUACGUG
rnacentral:rRNA from 1 species